AUCCAGCUGAAGAGUAACAAAUAGAACGAAAUGUGCAUCCUGGAU
rnacentral:hammerhead_ribozyme from 1 species